CGGAAAAUUUAAUUAGAAUUUUCGCUGUAACAUUACAAAACACUUUAAAAAAUUCAGCAUUUAAAAUAAUUCAUUGUAACGCAGUUCUCGAGGACAUCGAAAGGCAAGAUGACCUACAAGAAAAACUUAGUCUAUACCAUACGACAAAAACGUGCCAUCUUGGAAUAAAUGAAAUGAAGAAAGAAGAAAAUAUUAUUGACCAAAAAUGUGUGACGACAUAGAAAAUUAUGUUAACAAUUGUGACAUAUGACAAAACAAUAAGUGUGAUCGAAAACCACCAGUGAUAAAAUUUAACUUAACCCCAACAGCAUCAAAACCAUUCGAAUAUAUUCAUGUUGAUACCUUUAGGAUAAACCAUGAAGCUUACGUUACAAUAAUUGACGCAUUUUUACCCUAUGGACAAGCGUAUCCAUUAAAAAGCAUAACAGGAACCGAGGUAGUUGAAAAUCUUUUUAAUUUUACAAUGCAUCAUGGAUUACGAUUGAAAAUAACCUCCGAUCACGAAACAGAAUUUAAAAACAAAGACCUCGAAGGCUUUUGAAACCGAUGAAGAUCAAAAUGUUGGCUCUUCUAUUCGUAGCAGUUCUAACCGAACCAAUAGUAACAACAGACGUACAAGUUACCAAACUCGUAAAUUCUAUACUUCCUAUCCAGAUACGUAAGGCAAAGUUGAUUUUUAAUAAUAUAAUAUUAUGUAGAUUCAAGCCAAAUAAUUAAUCACGUAGAAAGCAUAGAGAAUGCAUCCAAAAUAAUUAAAGAUAAGUUUAAUGUUAAAAAUAUAACUAAUAUUAUUUCUUAUUAUGGACUUGCCGAAAAUUGUUUAAGAACUGAAUAUUUGAUACAAUAACGGUGGAAAAACUUGAAAAUUUACAUCCACAUGUUCGUAAAGAACGAGGCCUAGUUAACGCGGUUGGUAAAAUAAAUAAAUGGCUAUUUGGAACUCUCGACGCUGACGAUGGAAAUUAUUAUAAAGCAGCAAAAACCAAAAUUAUUUAGCUAAAAAAUUCGGACUACAAGCAUCUUUAUCAAAGGGCAUAACUAAUAACUAUAAUAAAACUAUUUUGAAAUUGAAUGAAAACCAACGUAAACUAAAAACUGGUUUAAAAACAUUUCAAAAUGUAGUAUUAAUGACGAUAAAUUCUUUACUAGACUAUCCUAGUUUUUACGGGAUCAUAACGCAAUUAAACUUAGAUUGCCAAAAUAUUAUAAUGUUUCUAGAUAACCUAGAAGACGCUAUUAUGUUUUCAAAAGUUAAUGCGCUUCAUAAUAGUAUUUUACCGAUUUCGGAGCUGAACAAAAUGCUUAAAUAUCUAGCAUCAAUUUAUAAAGACAAUCAAAUCCCACAAUUUAAAAACAUUUUAUCUUCUUAUCAAAUUUUGGAAACUCAGAUAAAUUUUGUUGACUCGAAAGUGAUCUUUGCAGUCCAUGCACCAAUUUUAAGAUUCAAAAUAUUUUCCUUUUACCAUAUAUUUCUAAUAAUCCAAAACCAAUCAAUUUUUAUACCCCAAUACCCUUAUAUGGCACAAGCGGAGAAGAAGAGACAAUUCACCGCAGAAACAAGUCAUUCAUUGAAGGAAUUUACUUUUGUAAAGAAGAAACUCACCCCCGAGAUGUAUGCGUGGAGAACUUAUUUGACGAUAUGGGAAUGGAAAACAAGAAGCAAUUAUAGAACAAAUCACUCAAAAUUUAGUUCUUGUUCAGCAACAGAAGCCUGAGAAAUUGCUAAUCAACACGGAUCGGUAUAUGUAAAUCGAAGUAACAGUACUGAUUAAGAUACCAGUAAACUGUCAAAUAGAUAUUAAUGAAGAAAAAUUCUUCAACCAGCGAAAGAAGAAACAAAUACGUUCCAAAUAAUUGUUAUUGUGUUUGGAAUGAUCAUGGUUCUAAUUUUAGUUUUCAUCAUUAAGAAGCUCUUCUUGGAAAAGGUACGAGAAUUGAAGAAAAUCGCAUCCAAAGAGGAAACCUGCCAAGAAAAUUUUGAAGCUUUUUCGAAAAAACGUUCCGUUAUUUCGAAAGUUAAGGAGGGAGGAGUUAUAUGCCCCAAACUGCAGACGAAGCCCAAAGCUAGGCGAAGAUAACGCCUUGCCGAUACUGCAUCGAAAGCCCUAUUUAUUCGAUUGUCACAUUGUAAAAUUGCUCUUAAUUAUUCCAGCCUUUGUAUCGGCUAGUCCGAAUAAAACUUUAUUUUGCUUU